CAGUAGCCACGGUAAUACGUAGGUGGCAAGCGUUGUCCGGAAUUAUUGGGCGUAAGGGCUCGCAGACGGUUUCUUAAGUCUGAUGUGAAAGCCCCCGGCUCAACCGGGGAGGGUCAUUGGAAACUGGGAAACUUGAGUGCAGAAGAGGAGAGUGGAAUUCCACGUGUAGCGGUGAAAUGCGUAGAGAUGUGGAGGAACACCAGUGGCGAAGGCGACUCUCUGGUCUGUAACUGACGCUGAGGAGCGAAAGCGUGGGGAGCGAACAGGAUUAGAUACCCGGUAGUCCCUGUCUCUUAUACAC
rnacentral:rRNA from 1 species